UCUCUGGGCAUCCCAUGAGGGCUUGUCUUUAUCCACACACUGUGGAUGGUACCAUUGCUUGGAGUGGGAUCCAAAGUGAGCAAAAAGGAGAACAUGAGCUGAGCGCAUGUGUGUACCACUCUGUCCUUGACACUGGAUGCCCCUACCUCCAGCUCCUGCCCCUGUGACUUCUCCACCAAGAUGGACUGAUUGUACCUUAGAACCGUGGGCUGAAGUAAGCUGCUUUCCUCAGAAUGUUUUACCACACAAACAAGAAAACUGACUAAGACAAAGGGUUUAGAGCUCAAUGGGCAAGAGCACUGGGUAGAAGAUGACUCAGAAAGCGCCAUGGGAUUUGCUCCUACAAGAGAAGAAUGUGAUUGUUUUCUUGGGAGAACCUUGCAGAGGGCAGAGAGCUCCCCUGGUGUCUCUCCAUCUCCGUUAUUUCUACUGACAAAGGACGAGAAGCACUGAGCAUCAUGCCAGACACAGAUAAUGACUCACACUUUCUGAGUGCCCUGGGGCUUGCCUAAGUGUGUUAUCUGUGAUAAUUCCUUGGAAUCUUCUCAACUUGCCCAGGAAAGGUCAAGGUUCGCGUCUCCAUGGAACAGAUGAAGAUACAAGGCACAAUGGGAUCUGAUGCUCAGAACUGGUCACUCGGUGAAAGCUAGCAUCCUGGGCAUGUUCAGGGUCUUAGUUAGGGUUUCCAUCACCUUGAAGCGACACCAUGACCAAGACAAAUCACCUUGAAGCGACACCAUGACCAAGACAACUCUUGUUAGGGACAAUCUUUACUUGGGGCUGACUCAGAGAAUCAGUUCAUCAUCAUCACGGUGAGAAUCAUGGCAGCAUGCAGGCAGACUACAUCUUGAUCCCAAGGCAACCAGAAGAGGAGAUUCCCUCUGCAUGAAGCCAGGAAGAGGCUCUUUUCUGCACUGGGUGGAACUUGAGCACAGGACCUCAAAGCCCAUCCCCACAGUCACAUGCUUGCUCCAACAAGGCCAUACCUCCUAAUAGUACCACUCCCGGGCCAAGGCUAUUCAAACCACCACACUCAGCCUCUAUGUGGGCCAGCUUUUGUUCAUUUCUGACCUCCUCAUUUACAUCCUUCUUGCUAGAACAGAUUCCCUUUCUUGACUAGGAAAGCUCCCAGCCUUGCUCUGUUCUCCCAUGUACAAGGCAGUGGUGAAGCAGCUUUUAACUGCUGGUUCUGGAUCUUCCCCAGCCAGUCAAACCUCUUUGAAUCCCACUAAGCAAAUGUUUGCUGAGAACCUACUAAGCACUCGACAUGACUCUAGAGACCAUGCCAAGACACAAGUUUCACACAUUCAAAGUCAAAUGGAAAAAAAAAAAAAAAAAGAAAGCAUGUGAUCAACAUCUCAGUAAACCAGCGCUUACUGGGGAAAAAAAAAGAGGACCGUCUGUCAAAUAGACAGUGACUUUGAAGGCUAUGUUCUUAGAUUUAGUUCACUGUUUACGAAAUGAGCAUACAAAGUCAUAUAUUUUCUUAUAACUGUUUCACAUGUAUAUGCCAUUAUCCUUUCUUCUUAUCCUCUCCUCCUCCAUCCCCUUUGCUCCUCCUUUGGUGGCCUCAUUUGUUUCUUAAAUAAAGUCAGUAGCUGGCCAAUAGUA